rnacentral:rRNA from 1 species
CCUACGGGUGGCUGCAGUGAGGAAUAUUGGUCACUGGGCGCGAGCCUGAACCAGCCACGUAGCGUGAAGGAUGACUGCCCUACGGGUUGUAAACUUCUUUUAUAAAGGAAUAAAGUGAGGCACUUGUGCCUUUUUGUAUGUACUUUAUGACUAAGGCUCGGCUCACUCCGUGCCAGCAGCCGCGGUACUACGGAGGAUCCGAGCGUUAUCCGGAUUUAUUGGGUUUAAUGGGAGCGUAGAUGGGUUGUUAAGUCAGUUGUGAAAGGUUGCGGCUCAACCGUAAAAUUGCAAUUGAUACUGGCAGUCUUGAGUACAGUUGAGGUAGGCGGAAUUCGUGGUGUAGCGGUGAAAUGCGUAGAUAUCACGAAGAACUCCGAUUGCGAAGGCAGCUUACUAAACGGCCACUGACAUUGAUGCUCGAAAGUGUGGGUAUCAAACAGGAUUAGAUACCCGUGUAGUC